rnacentral:rRNA from 1 species
GAUGAACGCUAGCUACAGGCUUAACACAUGCAAGUCGAGGGACCGGCGCACGGGUGAGUAACACGUAUCCAACCUGCCCUUUACUCGGGGAUAGCCUUUCGAAAGAAAGAUUAAUACCCGAUGUAAAGGAUGGGGAUGCGUUCCAUUAGGUUGUUGGUGAGGUAACGGCUCACCAAGCCUUCGAUGGAUAGGGGGUCUGAGAGGAAGGUCCACCACAUUGUAACGUAGACAAGGCCCAAACGCCUACGGGAGGCAGCAGUGAUGAGUAUUGGUCAAUGUGCGUUAGCCUGAACCAGCCAAUUAGCGUGAAGGAUGAAUGCUGAUGGGUCUUAAACUUCUUUUAUAUAAGAAUAUGUAUUAUAUGAAUAAGGAUCGGCUAACUCCGUGCCAGCAGCCGCGGUAAUAC